rnacentral:rRNA from 1 species
GACAUAGGUGGCGAACGUUAUCCGGAUUUAUUGGGCGUAAAGGAUGCGUAGAUGGUGGAAUAAGUUAUUGGUCAAAGUCAAGCUCACCUUGGCGGAAGCUGGUAAUACUAUUCUACUUGAGGAUAGGAGAGGUUGGCGGAAUUCUGUGUGGAGCGGUGAAAUGCGUUGAUCUACAGAGGAACACCAAAAAAGGCGAAGGCAGCCAACUAGUCUAUUCCUGACAUUGAGGCAUGAAAGCGUGGGGAGCAAACCGG